rnacentral:rRNA from 1 species
GAUGAACGCUGGCGGCGUGCCUAAUACAUGCAAGUCGAGCGCUGCGGGGACGGGUGAGUAACACGUAGCUAACCUCCUAUAAGAACGCGCUCAACUCGGGAAACCGGUGCUAAAACGGAUACUCUUAGGUGGCUUCGCGCUGCAUUAGCUAGUUGGUAAGGUAACGGCUUACCAAGGCAACAAUGCAUAGCCGACCCGAGAGGGUGAUCGGCCAUACUGGUACUGAGACACGGUCCAGACUCCUACGGGAGGCAGCAGUAGUGAAUCUUCCGCAAUGGGCGAAAGCCUGACGGAGCAACGCCGCGUGAGUGAUGAAGGUCUUCGGAUCGUAAGACUCUGUUGUUAGAGAAGCGGUACCUAAUCAGAAAGCCACGGCUAACUACGUGCCAGCAGCCGCGGUAAUAC